GAUGAACGCUGGCGGCGUGCUUAACACAUGCAAGUCGAACGGUCAGGUGCCGUCCUUGCUGGUCUGAGGUUAGCGGCGGCCAGGUGAGUAAUAACAGGUUAAUAUCCUUCUCCGUUCGGGUUAAUUACCGCAUACCGGUGUUACUAAUACAUAAUAUACUGAAUCGCUCGGUUGAUUAGUCUAGGACGGAUUUUGUUUCAGUUAUAGAUGGACCCGCGCCGCAUGAGCUUGUUGGUAAGGUAAUGGCCUACCAAGGCAACGAUGCGUAGCCGACCUGAGAGGGGGAUCGGCCACACUGGAACGGAGACACGGUCCAGACUCCGACGGGAGGCAGCAGUAGGGAAUCUUCCGCAAUGGGCGAAAGCCUGACGGAGCAACGCCGCGUGAGUGAUGAAGGUCUUCGGAUCGUAAAACUCUGUUAUUAGGGAAGAACAAAUGUGUAAGUAACUAUGCACGUCUUGACGGUACCUAAUCAGAAAGCCACGGCUAACUACGUG
rnacentral:rRNA from 1 species